rnacentral:rRNA from 1 species
AUACGUAGGGGGCGAGCGUUAUCCGGAAUUAUUGGGCGUAAAGGGUGCGCAGGCGGACCGGUAAGUCAGGGGUGAAAAGUCGGGGCUCAACUCCGAUCGUGCCUUUGAUACUGCCGGACUGGAGUGCGAUAGGCGUGGCCGGAAUGUGGUGUGUAGCGGUGAAAUGCUUAGAUAUGCCACAGAACACCGAUCGAGAAGUCAGGUCACGAGUUCGCAACUGACGCUCAUGCACGAAAGCGUGGGGAUCAAACAGGAUUAGAUACCCUGGUAGUCCACGCUGUAAACGAUGAUCACUCGUUGUUGGGGGGUGACCCUCAGCGGCCAAGCGAAAGCGAUAAGUGAUCCACCUGGGGAGUACGAUCGCAAGGUUGAAACUUAAAGGAAUUGACGGGG